GGUUAAGCGACUAAGCGUACACGGUGGAUGCCCUGGCAGUCAGAGGCGAUGAAGGACGUGCUAAUCUGCGAAAAGCGUCGGUAAGGUGAUAUGAACCGUUAUAACCGGCGAUGUCCGAAUGGGGAAACCCAGUGCAAUUCGUUGCACUAUCGUUAACUGAAUACAUAGGUUAACGAGGCGAACCGGGGGAACUGAAACAUCUAAGUACCCCGAGGAAAAGAAAUCAACCGAGAUUCCCCCAGUAGCGGCGAGCGAACGGGGAGCAGCCCAGAGUCUGAAUCAGCUUGUGUGUUAGUGGAACGGUCUGGAAAGUCCGACGGUACAGGGUGAUAGUCCCGUACACCAAAAUGCACAGGUUGUGAACUCGAAGAGUAGGGCGGGACACGUGGUAUCCUGUCUGAAUAUGGGGGGACCAUCCUCCAAGGCUAAAUACUCCUGACUGACCGAUAGUGAACCAGUACCGUGAGGGAAAGGCGAAAAGAACCCCGGCGAGGGGAGUGAAAAAGAACCUGAAACCGUGUACGUACAAGCAGUGGGAGCACCUUUAUGGUGUGACUGCGUACCUUUUGUAUAAUGGGUCAGCGACUUAUAUUCUGUAGCAAGGUUAACCGUAUAGGGGAGCCGCAGGGAAACCGAGUCUUAACUGGGCGUUAAGUUGCAGGGUAUAGACCCGAAACCCGGUGAUCUAGCCAUGGGCAGGUUGAAGGUUGGGUAACACUAACUGGAGGACCGAACCGACUAAUGUUGAAAAAUUAGCGGAUGACUUGUGGCUGGGGGUGAAAGGCCAAUCAAACCGGGAGAUAGCUGGUUCUCCCCGAAAGCUAUUUAGGUAGCGCCUCGUGAACUCAUCUUCGGGGGUAGAGCACUGUUUCGGCUAGGGGGUCAUCCCGACUUACCAACCCGAUGCAAACUACGAAUACCGAAGAAUGUUAUCACGGGAGACACACGGCGGGUGCUAACGUCCGUCGUGAAGAGGGAAACAACCCAGACCGCCAGCUAAGGUCCCAAAGUCAUGGUUAAGUGGGAAACGAUGUGGGAAGGCACAGACAGCCAGGAUGUUGGCUUAGAAGCAGCCAUCAUUUAAAGAAAGCGUAAUAGCUCACUGGUCGAGUCGGCCUGCGCGGAAGAUGUAACGGGGCUAAACCAUGCACCGAAGCUGCGGCAGCGACACUAUGUGUUGUUGGGUAGGGGAGCGUUCUGUAAGCCUGCGAAGGUGACCUGUGAGGGUUGCUGGAGGUAUCAGAAGUGCGAAUGCUGACAUAAGUAACGAUAAAGCGGGUGAAAAGCCCGCUCGCCGGAAGACCAAGGGUUCCUGUCCAACGUUAAUCGGGGCAGGGUGAGUCGACCCCUAAGGCGAGGCCGAAAGGCGUAGUCGAUGGGAAACAGGUUAAUAUUCCUGUACUUGGUGUUACUGCGAAGGGGGGACGGAGAAGGCUAUGUUAGCCGGGCGACGGUUGUCCCGGUUUAAGCAUGUAGGCUGGUUAUCCAGGCAAAUCCGGAUAAUCAAGGCUGAGGUGUGAUGACGAGGCACUACGGUGCUGAAGUAACAAAUGCCCUGCUUCCAGGAAAAGCCUCUAAGCAUCAGGUAACAUCAAAUCGUACCCCAAACCGACACAGGUGGUCAGGUAGAGAAUACCAAGGCGCUUGAGAGAACUCGGGUGAAGGAACUAGGCAAAAUGGUGCCGUAACUUCGGGAGAAGGCACGCUGGUGUGUAGGUGAAGUCCCUGCGGAUGGAGCUGAGACCAGUCGAAGAUACCAGCUGGCUGCAACUGUUUAUUAAAAACACAGCACUGUGCAAACACGAAAGUGGACGUAUACGGUGUGACGCCUGCCCGGUGCCGGAAGGUUAAUUGAUGGGGUUAUCCGUAAGGAGAAGCUCUUGAUCGAAGCCCCGGUAAACGGCGGCCGUAACUAUAACGGUCCUAAGGUAGCGAAAUUCCUUGUCGGGUAAGUUCCGACCUGCACGAAUGGCGUAAUGAUGGCCAGGCUGUCUCCACCCGAGACUCAGUGAAAUUGAACUCGCUGUGAAGAUGCAGUGUACCCGCGGCAAGACGGAAAGACCCCGUGAACCUUUACUAUAGCUUGACACUGAACAUUGAGCCUUGAUGUGUAGGAUAGGUGGGAGGCUUUGAAGCGUGGACGCCAGUCUGCGUGGAGCCAACCUUGAAAUACCACCCUUUAAUGUUUGAUGUUCUAACGUUGGCCCCUGACCGGGGUUGCGGACAGUGUCUGGUGGGUAGUUUGACUGGGGCGGUCUCCUCCCAAAGCGUAACGGAGGAGCACGAAGGUUAGCUAAUCCUGGUCGGACAUCAGGAGGUUAGUGCAAUGGCAUAAGCUAGCUUGACUGCGAGCGUGACGGCGCGAGCAGGUGCGAAAGCAGGUCAUAGUGAUCCGGUGGUUCUGAAUGGAAGGGCCAUCGCUCAACGGAUAAAAGGUACUCCGGGGAUAACAGGCUGAUACCGCCCAAGAGUUCAUAUCGACGGCGGUGUUUGGCACCUCGAUGUCGGCUCAUCACAUCCUGGGGCUGAAGUAGGUCCCAAGGGUAUGGCUGUUCGCCAUUUAAAGUGGUACGCGAGCUGGGUUUAGAACGUCGUGAGACAGUUCGGUCCCUAUCUGCCGUGGGCGCUGGAGAAUUGAGGGGGGCUGCUCCUAGUACGAGAGGACCGGAGUGGACGCAUCACUGGUGUUCGGGUUGUCAUGCCAAUGGCACUGCCCGGUAGCUAAAUGCGGAAGAGAUAAGUGCUGAAAGCAUCUAAGCACGAAACUUGCCCCGAGAUGAGUUCUCCCUGAGACUUUAAGUCUCCUGAAGGAACGUUGAAGACGACGACGUUGAUAGGCCGGGUGUGUAAGCGCAGCGAUGCGUUGAGCUAACCGGUACUAAUGAACCGUGAGGCUUAACCUU
rnacentral:rRNA from 1 species